rnacentral:rRNA from 1 species
UCUACCCUUAAGUUGGGGAUAACUAGUCGAAAGAUUAGCUAAUACCGAAUAAUAACAUCAAUAUCGCAUGAGAAGAUGUAGAAAGUCGCUCUUUGUGGCAACGCUUUUGGAUGAGGGUGCGACGUAUCAGAUAGUUGGUGAGGUAAUGGCUCACCAAGUCAAUGACGCGUAGCUGUACUGAGAGGUAGAACGGCCACAAUGGGACUGAGACACGGCCCAUACUCCUACGGGAGGCAGCAGCC